GGGAACCUCACCCGGCCCGGACACCGCGAGGAUUGACAGACUGAGAGCUCUUUCUCGAUUCGGUGGGUGGUGGUGCAUGGCCGUUCUUAGUUGGUGGAGCGAUCUGUCUGGUUAAUUCCGAUAACGAACGAGACCCCAACCUGCUAACUAGCCCUCGGGUCCUGCUUCUGUUGGGCCCGACGGAAUGAUUCGCUUCUUAGAGGGACUCGCGCCGCCUAGCCGCACGAAGGGGGGCGAUAA
rnacentral:rRNA from 1 species